CGAGCAAAUACAACGGUUGUUUUAUGCCAUUAAGUUACACAGCAAGAGAUGACUGGGACAUGCAUCCCAUUUCGUAUCGAUGAAUUCAGUACAGUAACAGAGAGGCCGCCUCUGAUGAAACUACAAGAUAGCUAAAACCACAAAAAGAGUGAAGGAGGUGCUCAAUGCAGUGGAGAUAAAGAAACAGUGGGGGAGAAAAGCAGGGAGAGGAUGCCCACUGCUCGGAUCUCAGGCAGAGCCAGCAAAGAGCAGUCCCGAGGUGGUAACAGCAAAGCCUCAGGCGUGACCAUGUGGAGGAUGCUGAGGCCAGGUGAACGGCAGGUCACAGAUUAGCCCUGAGCUAACUGCUGCCAUCCUCCUCUUUUUGCUGAGGAAGACUGUCCUGAGCUAACAUCCGUGCCCAUCUUCCUCUACUUUAUAUGUGGGAUGCCUACCACAGCAUGGCUUGCCAAGAGGUGCCAUGUCCACACCCGGGAUCCAAACUGGUGAACCCCGGGCCGCCGAGAAGCAGAAUGUGUGAACUUAAUCGCUGCGCCACUAGGCUGGCCCCCACAUAAAGGUUUUAAGAAAACAAAUCUUCCCAUGUGAUCCUGACGUGCAACUACGUUUAGAGACCCCUGCUCCAGAGCCUAGCUGGAGCCACACUGUAAUCCACCCAGGAGAGUGACCCAGGAAUUCAUGAUAAUAGCCACUGGGGGGCCAGCGGGUGGCACAGCCAAAUGAACAGGAGUUUUUACAUCCAUGGUCCCCAGCUGCACCCCUCCGCCUUGAGAAUCUCCACUCAAGAACCCGGAAUUCACGCCGAACAAGGGGCAACAACCCAGGCAGAAUCUCAAGCAGGAGCCACUUUCUCCUGUCGGUAACAGACCUGGUAGUUUUAUUCAUUUACUUUAACGAUAAACAUGAAUUUCUUUUAUUUAGUAUAAUAAAGUGGGAAUUAACAUUUUGGGGGAAAUCAUUCUGAGGCUGUCAAUGACACCAGUAAAUUCUGGACCUUCCACUUUAGAUCUAAUAAAUUUGAAUGCAAACUUAAAUAAUAAUGAAA
rnacentral:lncRNA from 1 species